rnacentral:rRNA from 1 species
CACGUAGGGGGCGAGCGUUGUCCGGAUUUAUUGGGCGUAAAGAGCUCGUAGGCGGCUCAGUAAGUCAGGUGUGAAAACUCCAGGCUCAACCUGGAGACGCCACCUGAUACUGCUGUGGCUAGAGUCCGGUAGGGGAGCAUGGAAUUCCUGGUGUAGCGGUGGAAUGCGCAGAUAUCAGGAGGAACACCGAUGGCGAAGGCAGAUCUCUGGGCCGUAACUGACGCUGAGGAGCGAAAGCGUGGGGAGCGAACAGG